AUUGAACGCUGGCGGCAUGCCUUACACAUGCAAGUCGAACGGCAGCACGGGAGCAAUCCUGGUGGCGAGUGGCGAACGGGUGAGAAAUCUAUCGGAACGUGCCCAGUAGCGGGGGAUAACGUAGCGAAAGCUACGCUAAUACCGCAUACGAUCCACGGAUGAAAGCGGGGGAUCGCAAGACCUCGCGCGCUAGGAGCGGCAGAGAUCAGAAUAGGUAGUUGGUGAGGGAAAGGCACACCAAGCCAACGAUCUGUAGCUGGUCUGAGAGGACGACCAGCCACACUGGGACUGAGACACGGCCCAGACUCCUACGGGAGGCAGCAGUGGGGAAUUUUGGAAAAUGGGCGCAAGCCUGAUCCAGCAAUGCCGCGUGCAGGAUGAAGGCCUUCGGGUUGUAAACUGCUUUUGUACGGAACGAAACGGUGAGCUCUAAUACAGUUUGCUAAUGACGGUACCGUAAGAAUAAGCACCGGCUAACUACGUGCCAGCCGCCGCAGUAA
rnacentral:rRNA from 1 species